AUACGUAGGGUGCAAGCGUUGUCCGGAAUUAUUGGGCGUAAAGAGCUCGUAGGCGGUUUGUCGCGUCUGCUGUGAAAACGCGAGGCUCAACCUCGCGCCUGCAGUGGGUACGGGCAGACUAGAGUGCGGUAGGGGAGAUUGGAAUUCCUGGUGUAGCGGUGGAAUGCGCAGAUAUCAGGAGGAACACCGAUGGCGAAGGCAGAUCUCUGGGCCGUAACUGACGCUGAGGAGCGGAAGCGUGGGGAGCGAACAGGAUUAGAUACCCUGGUAGUCCACGCCGUAAACGUUGGGAACUAGAUGUAGGGACCAUUCCACGGUUUCUGUGUCGCAGCUAACGCAUUAAGUUCCCCGCCUGGGGAGUACGGUCGCAAGACUAAA
rnacentral:rRNA from 1 species